rnacentral:rRNA from 1 species
UACAGAGGGUGCGAGCGUUGUUCGGAAUUAUUGGGCGUAAAGAGCUCGUAGGCGGCCAGUUGCGUCUGCUGUGAAAUCCCGGGGCUCAACCCCGGGCGUGCAGUGGAUACGGGCUGGCUAGAGGCAGGCAGGGGAGAACGGAAUUCCCGGUGUAGCGGUGAAAUGCGCAGAUAUCGGGAGGAACACCGGUGGCGAAGGCGGUUCUCUGGGACGGUACUGACGCUGAGACGCGAAAGCGUGGGGAGCGAACAGG